AUUGAACGCUGGCGGCAGGCCUAACACAUGCAAGUCGAGCGGAUGAAGGGAGCUUGCUCCUGGAUUCAGCGGCGGACGGGUGAGUAAUGCCUAGGAAUCUGCCUGGUAGUGGGGGAUAACGUCCGGAAACGGGCGCUAAUACCGCAUACGUCCUGAGGGAGAAAGUGGGGGAUCUUCGGACCUCACGCUAUCAGAUGAGCCUAGGUCGGAUUAGCUAGUUGGUGGGGUAAAGGCCUACCAAGGCGACGAUCCGUAACUGGUCUGAGAGGAUGAUCAGUCACACUGGAACUGAGACACGGUCCAGACUCCUACGGGAGGCAGCAGUGGGGAAUAUUGGACAAUGGGCAAAAGCCUGAUCCAGCCAUGCCGCGUGUGUGAAGAAGGUCUUCGGAUUGUAAAGCACUUUAAGUUGGGAGGGAGGGCAGUAAGUUAAUACCUUGCUGUUUUGACGUUACCAACAGAAUAAGCACCGGCUAACUUCGUG
rnacentral:rRNA from 1 species